GGGAGGGUAAGGAGGAGGAGCUCCGACUAUAUUCUGUGACAGCAUUUUUUGUGUCCCUUAGCAUUUUUUGGUUGACAUCCUUCAAUCCAGGAAAAUUCCCCAACUCACAGCAGCCACUGUGAGAGGUGGUGGCUGGAGCUCCAGGCUCGCCUGGGGUCACACCACUUGGGCAAGACAGUGCAUUGGACUAAGGAGAGGAGAGAGGAAACAGCAGUGCAGGUGCCCCAUAGGGAACAAACUGAGUUCUCCCAUGGGCCCCUGCUGUGGCCUCAGCUGUGACUGCUGCAGGCUGAACGUGGGACCCUGCAAUGAAUCUGAGACUGUUGAGGCUGUGGCAGCCGCGGCACCAGCAUCCACCGCUGCAGAGGCUGCCAGAUUGAAUUUGGGAGCCACGGAGGUCCAUCCCGUGCAGGACCAGAGCAACCCCGAGCUCCCCAAAGAUUUGGCCGCCCGUCCCAAGCGCUGGACAACAAAAAUAGGGAGACGGAACAAAAUUUGGCCUGUAGGAAAUAAAGGCUCUGAUGAAGAUCGGCAGGUGCCUGCACGUGGUGGGGUGGAGAAUAUGAAAUCAGAACUUAGAAAGUCGAAUGCCCAGGCUAACCUCUGUUUGGCCGCCCGUCCCAAGCGCUGGACACCAAAACUAUGGAGACGGAACAAAAUUUGGCCUGUAGGAAAUAAAGAUUUCGAUGAAGAUCUGCAGGAAUCUGCACAGAGCGGUGUGGAGGAGAACAUGAGAUCAGAACUUGUAAGACGCAUUUCUUUCUCUGGAAGAGAAAUUUUAUUUUGUUUUUUCUGGGGUCACUAGAGGUUAUGACCAACUGAGGCCUGAUUGACAGUGGCAGUCAAAGGAUGGCAUCAGUUACAAAUUGUUUGGUAGUGAGUGUAUUUCUCAGUAGCAACCUUUUCUCCCGGAAAAAUAGUUUUGUAUUUGCCAGCCAACAUGGACACUUGCUAAAUAUUCCCCCAAAAAAAACCCACUGCAUUUUCCACAAGCAUCCUCUAUGCUUUCUUUCGGGGCCAGUUACCUGAUCACUGUUUUGUUGUUUUUUUUUUCUCUUAUUGCAGAGAAAGUCGAACGCCCAGUGUCAGCUCUGUACGUAUUCUUUUUUUUUAACAGCUUUAUUUAAACGUAGUUGACAUGCAAAACAAUGUACCCAUUUAAAGUAGGUGAUUCAGCGUUUUUAGAUCUACUAACAUUCCCACAUCUCAGAAUAGGGAACUGAGGCACAGAGGGGUUCAUUUCACUUUCCCAGGUAUGUGCAGAUUCUAAGUAGCAUUUGAUCCCAGGCCAUUCUUGGUGACUUGGAUCUGUUGCUUUUCUAUAUUGUCUCAUCUAAAUAAAGGUAUCUGCCUGCACAUACAGUCCGUUUUAAGUGCAAUGAACCUUGCAAAAUCCUCCCAGAACCCAAAUCUAAUGUAGAGUUGAAAAGCCGACGGUAAAAACUGGGAUCAAAAGUUUCAUCUGGGCAUAAGUUUUUACUAAUUUCUCUGCUGUCCUCUGCCAGCAACAAUGUCAAGCGCUGUC
rnacentral:lncRNA from 10 species